ACCCGUCCCGAUCCAGCACGGCAGUGUCUGCACCGCGGCAUACGAGUGCCGGCCAGAAUAAACGUCCGCGAAAGAUAUGCGGCGCCCGUGACCGCCCGCCGACGCCGUCGGCCCCGCCGCGGAUCAACGCAACGACGACCGCAUGGCGCCUAAUAAGAGCAAAAGGCCUAUAUUCGAACUCGUUGUGAGUAUAUUAUACCAUACUUACUUGUCUACUUAUUAUAUUACAUGCGCGCGGGUUUAUCGAUUUUUUUAAUUAUUUUAAAAAUUGCAACGCCACAACAGAAACGACUAUACCUAUAGGGAUGGUAGGUGCGCGAUUAUAUCAUAUUAUGUUCGCUGAAAACCGUACGGAAUGUAUAAACAUUUUAUAACUGUUAAAAUGAAGCCCGGUGUCGAGUCAACCGACGUCGAAAUUCGAUGCACGUUAUUCGUGACAUUUUACAUUUUUGAUGAACAAAU